AGCAAUAGCAUGAUGCUUCCACCUUCUCGCCUUCAACAACGGAACCAAACCGAGAUCCCAUCACCGCUGGCCGGCGACGAAUUGUUGAUCGAGUAAGGCGAGAGGGAGAUGAAGAGAAAGGGGUUCCGAACUUCUGCCCAGCUGGAACAGAAGCCGGAUCACGCGAAAAGCUCUCGACCUGGGCCUGCGGUGAUGUCCGGAUCUUCUCGGAAAUGCUUCUCCCUUCUUCACAAACAACCAUGUGAUUUCAUCGUCGCCACUGAUGAACCCGUCUAAAGGAAGAAGAUCCUGAGAUACGGAUUGAUUCAUCACUCAUUCUUCACAAAAAUCUUCAAUCUGUUGGGUUAGCUGCCAUGAUCUCCAUACUGGCAAACGGAGAAAUAGGAUUCCAAGUGUGAGACUUCCUAGUCAACCAUGUUGCUGUUGGGUAAGCACGUCAUUCAUGCUCCAUCAUCAUUUUUCAAACUAACACUAACACCUUUUGAUUAUAUAUAUAUAUAAUCAAUUAUGUCAAGAAUGAUUAUUAGAUAGCCAAAUGAUAGGACUGUGUUACCACGGAAAGGGAUUGUCUAUAGUAACCUGAUUCCUUUUUGAAAACCAUUGAGAAAACUGCAGAAAGAUCAUAUAUUUGCUUGCAUA